UGGGGAAUAUUGCACAAUGGGCGCAAGCCUGAUGCAGCGACGCCGCGUGGGGGAUGACGGCCUUCGGGUUGUAAACUCCUUUCGCUAGGGACGAAGCUUUUUGUGACGGUACCUAGAUAAGAAGCACCGGCUAACUACGUGCCAGCAGCCGCGGUAAUACGUAGGGUGCGAGCGUUGUCCGGAAUUACUGGGCGUAAAGGGCUCGUAGGUGGUUUGUCGCGUCGUCUGUGAAAUUCCGGGGCUUAACUCCGGGCGUGCAGGCGAUACGGGCAUAACUUGAGUGCUGUAGGGGGAACUGGAAUUCCUGGUGUAGCGGUGGAAUGCGCAGAUAUCAGGGGGAACACCGAUGGGGAAGGCAGGUUACUGGGCAGUUACUGACGCUGAGGGGCGAAAGCAUGGGUAGCGAACAGG
rnacentral:rRNA from 1 species